rnacentral:rRNA from 1 species
ACGAACGCUGGCGGCGUGGAUAAGACAUGCAAGUCGAACGAGAGAAUUGCUAGCUUGCUAAUAAUUCUCUAGUGGCGCACGGGUGAGUAACACGUGAGUAACCUGCCCCCGAGAGCGGGAUAGCCCUGGGAAACUGGGAUUAAUACCGCAUAGUAUCGAAAGAUUAAAGCAGCAAUGCGCUUGGGGAUGGGCUCGCGGCCUAUUAGUUAGUUGGUGAGGUAACGGCUCACCAAGGCGAUGACGGGUAGCCGGUCUGAGAGGAUGUCCGGCCACACUGGAACUGAGACACGGUCCAGACACCUACGGGUGGCAGCAGUCGAGAAUCAUUCACAAUGGGGGAAACCCUGAUGGUGCGACGCCGCGUGGGGGAAUGAAGGUCUUCGGAUUGUAAACCCCUGUCAUGUGGGAGCAAAUUAAAAAGAUAGUACCACAAGAGGAAGAGACGGCUAACUCUGUGCCAGCAGCCGCGGUAAUACAGAGGUCUCAAGCGUUGUUCGGAAUCACUGGGCGUAAAGCGUGCGUAGGCUGUUUCGUAAGUCGUGUGUGAAAGGCGCGGGCUCAACCCGCGGGCGGCACAGGAUACUGCGAGACUAGAGUAAUGGAGGGGGAACCGGAAUUCUCGGUGUAGCAGUGAAAUGCGUAGAUAUCGAGAGGAACACUCGUGGCGAAGGCGGGUUCCUGGACAUUAACUGACGCUGAGGCACGAAGGCCAGGGGAGCGAAAGGGAUUAGAUACCCCUGUAGUCCUGGCAGUAAACGGUGCACGCUUGGUGUGCGGGGAAUCGACCCCCUGCGUGCCGGAGCUAACGCGUUAAGCGUGCCGCCUGGGGAGUACGGUCGCAAGAUUAAAACUCAAAGAAAUUGACGGGGACCCGCACAAGCGGUGGAGUAUGUGGCUUAAUUCGAUGCAACGCGAAGAACCUUACCUGGGCUUGACAUGUAAUGAACAACAUGUGAAAGCAUGCGACUCUUCGGAGGCGUUACACAGGUGCUGCAUGGCCGUCGUCAGCUCGUGUCGUGAGAUGUUUGGUUAAGUCCAGCAACGAGCGCAACCCCUGUUGCCAGUUACCAGCACGUGAAGGUGGGGACUCUGGCGAGACUGCCCAGAUCAACUGGGAGGAAGGUGGGGACGACGUCAGGUCAGUAUGGCCCUUAUGCCCAGGGCUGCACACGUACUACAAUGCCCAGUACAGAGGGGGCCGAAGCCGCGAGGCGGAGGAAAUCCUAAAAACUGGGCCCAGUUCGGACUGUAGGCUGCAACCCGCCUACACGAAGCCGGAAUCGCUAGUAAUGGCGCAUCAGCUACGGCGCCGUGAAUACGUUCCCGGGUCUUGUACACACCGCCCGUCACAUCAUGGAAGCCGGUCGCACCCGAAGUAUCUGAAGCCAACCGCAAGGAGGCAGGGUCCUAAGGUGAGACUGGUAACUGGGAUG